GGUCCGGUGGCCGAGUGGCUAGGCAAGGGUCUGCAAAACCCUGUACGGCGGUUCAAUUCCGCCCCGGACCUCCA
rnacentral:tRNA from 1 species